CACAGAAGCAAUGGAGACUACUUUUUCCAGAUGCUGCAAGGCCUAUGUGAAAUGAAGAUGCCCAGGCCUGGCAGAAGCCAGCUGUGGUGGUACACCCCUGGAAUCCCAGAAAUCCGAGAUGCUGAGGUGGCCGGAUGUCCUGGAAUGGGCAGAGGAAAAAUGAAGAAUGAAGAGCAGGUGGAAAAGAGGGACAGGACCCUGUCAGGCCCAGGCGGAGCCCCUGGAAGGCACAGCUCCGCCCAGCCCACCUGAGCGCUGGUCCAGCCAGGGGGCCUUACCUGACUGGCACCCUGGCUCCCGUGGCAGGGAGACCUCCCAGCCAGAUGCCUGCAUCUUGGACAGCCUCUCCUGCAUGCCCCGGAGGUUGCCGUUCAGCCCCCAGGCGUUGCACAGCUUGGGCAGGCUGUCCUCUUGCUGGGCCAGCAAUGUGCUCUUCUGCGGGUCCUCUUCCCGGAACACCGCCUGCAACCAACAGCAGGUGCGGGCCAGUCAGGAAGGCCGGGCCUGCACCCUCAGCUUAGCUCAACACCUGCUAUGGAGCUGCAGGCUGCACCUCACAUUCCUCUCCCAGAAAGCAAGGGUGAGAAUCACAGAGGAGAAAAGACCUGAAGGACACGGAGGCCCCAUGCCUGGUGUCUCUUCCUGUAUUGCAGGAUUAUCCUUUAUGUUUUAUUUAAUUAUUAUUUUUGCAUGCUGGGAAUUGAACACAGUGCUUAAUGCAUGAUAGGCAAGUGCUCUGCCACAGAGCUACACCCCAUCUGGGUUUCUUUUCAGUUUGUUUGUUUGUUGUUGCUGUUUUUGAGACAAGAUUUUGGUGGCCUAGAACUCAGUUCCCUCCUGCCUCAGCCUCCCAAGGGCUGGGAUUACAGCCACGUAUCACCACAUUUGGCUUGAAGUUCUGUUUUAUUUUAAGAUCAUGCUUUCCAUCUCUUUUGGAGAUAAUAACAUCUGCUUUGUUUGUGAUGAAACAAUGGUACUUGUCUUAAGACUCUAAUUUAGCAAAAUUUGAAUUAAAGCUGGGUAUGGUGGCCCAUCCUAGUAGUGUCAGCACUCUGGGAGGCUUAGGCAGAAGCAUCAUACAUCUGUUCAUUCAAACCCAACCCGGGCAAUUUAUCAACAUAACAAGACCCUGUCUCAAAAUACGAAUAAAUAAAUAGGGCUGUGGAUUUAGCUCAGCAGCACAAGUGCCUGCCUAGCAAAUGUGAGGUCAUGAGUUUAAUCCCUGGCACCAAAAGUAAACAAACAAACAAAUGAAUAAAUAAAUCAGGCUGAGGAUGUAACUCAGUGCAAAGAUCCUGGUUCAACUUCUGACAUAAAUAAAUAGCUUGGAGCAAUUUUGAAAUGUUUUAUGUCCAAUGAAUUUCAGAAAUCCAACAAUCACGAAAAUGGAAACUUUUCCUAUUUGCAAAUGCAGUCACUAGAGCCAGGACCAAGGUGCGUGCCAUGGAACCACCUAAGCGGGUUAUUGCUGGAGCCGAAGUGGUUGGGGCCCUCGUGGGCCACCUAGUGAGAGCCCAACCAGGCGAGGCAGAGCAAGCCUUUGGAAAGGCUGAGGCUGAAAAGAGGAUUGUCAUGAAUCUGAGGCCAUCUUGGGCUACAGAGUGAGUUCAAGGCCAGCUGAACUACAUCUCAAGACCCUGUCUCAAAAAAAAAAAAAAGAAAGAAAAAGAGAAAAGAUGGGCUUGAAGGCAUGGCUCAGUGUAGAGUGCUUGCCUAGCAUGUGUGGGGCCCUAGGCUCAAUCCGCAGUGCUGGAAAAUGAAUGACAACAAAAGGAAUCACAGAAAUGAUCCGACCUUCCUGUGCAGAGGAAGAAGCGGAGAGGCAGAGAGGGCAGGGGAGCCCGCUGGAGGAGGGCUUUCAUCCCAGGCAAAUGGGAUUUGAACUGGGCUUUUUUCCCUUUCACUUGCUGUGUGGCUGGGACCAAGUCACUUUACCUCCCUGCAUGCGGGACCUUCAUUUACAAACCAAGAAUAGCGCUUAGGGCUGCUUUUGAAGAUUCCUCGAAGAAACAAAGUGCCUGACACACAGAAGGCCUUCACACCUCUUCCUAGGGUUAUUGCCAGCAGUUCUCAAGUAUGUUUUGCAAACCCUUGGGAGCCCCCUGGAUAACAGCAUGCAUCUAAGGUGCAGAAGACAAGGCUGCUAGAUUCUAACGCAAGUGGCAUGAAGAGCUCAUCCACUUGAGUCUGAAAAGGGCAUGGAAUUUGUCCGGUUCCAUCUAUGUGACAUUCUGGGAAGGCAGAACUGAGGAGACAGCAACAAGAUUAGCACUGGCCAGAGGAGAAAGAGGGAUCUAGGUGGAGCCCAGGGUCCCAUAAUGUUUGGGUCCCUGCCAUCCAACCUUUGUCGAAAGACAACAGACCCGCACAAGACCGAACCUACUGUUCACUAAGGGCUUUAGCUAAGCAUGAUGUAUCCACAUUGGUGCAUCAGUGGUGGUAAAUGUACCACUCCAGGCAAGUUGCCAAUAGCUGGGGAAGCACCGGUUGGAGGGAGCGGAGGGGAGCCCUGUAUAUCCCACUCGGUUUUCCUAUAAACUGCACACGGAUUUUUCA